rnacentral:rRNA from 1 species
UACGGGGGGGGCAAGCGUUGUUCGGAAUUACUGGGCGUAAAGGGCUCGUAGGCGGCCAACUAAGUCGGAUGUGAAAUCCCCAGGCUUAACCUGGGGAACUGCAUCCGAUACUGGAUGGCUUGAAUCCGGGAGAGGGAUGCAGAAUUCCAGGUGUAGCGGUGAAAUGCGUAGAUAUCUGGAGGAAUACCGGUGGCGAAGGCGGCAUCCUGGACCGGCAUUGACGCUGAUGAGCGAAAAGCUAGGGGGAGCAAACGGG